UGUAGUUUACUGUGUUUGUAGCUUAAAAAUCUAAUUAUCAGUAUUUUGGUUUCUAUGUGUUACAUUGAAGCUGGAGUGGAGCUGGAGGAGUGUUCUCAACAGAAUCAAUCUCCUUGCCGCUCCGGCAGCUGACAAUAAAGGCUGUUCCUACUUUCCCUGCAGGAGUAUUUUCUGCCACUGCAGAACCUAUAGGCAGAAAGCUAUUUCUAUUGGUUGCUCUGAUGUAAGUGUGAGAUGCAUCAUGUGUGUCCAUGAGCCCUCAGCUCAUCAGGUGGACGUGGACGCCUUACACUUUAAUAACCAUACUAUGUAAUACAAUCUAAAGGAGUCGUAAGAUGAAAGAAGGAGUUGCUUGAUAACUAAGAACUAGAAGAAACAAAGAUAAUCUAUUUUAUUUAAAUGCAGUUUGGUCACUUUGGGACACCUUUUGGAUCCAACUAGAUGUUUAAGGGGUUCCCUGACUCAAUAAUAUCCAGCUUAAUAGGACUAGAUCCUCUCUUUGUGAUGUUAUAUGAAAAUUGAAAAAAUUCUUUAAAAUAAACAAUUAUUAAAAAAAAGAAAAUGGAAGACCUACAAGACCACUGAUAAUCUCCCUCGAUCUGGGGCUCCACGCAAGAUCUCAGCCCGUGGUGUCAAAAUGAUCACAUAAACGGUGAGCAAAAAUCCCAGAACCACACGGGGGGACCUAGUGAAUGACCUGCAGAGAGCUGGAACCAAAGUAACAAAAGCUACCAUCAGUAACACACUAUGCCGCCAGGGACUCAAAUCAUGCAGUGCCAGACGUGUCCCUCUGCUUAAGCCAGUACAUGUCCGGGCCUGUCUGAAGUUUGCUAGAGAGCAUUUGGAUGAUCCAGAAGAGGACUGGGAGAAUGUCAUAUGGUCAGAUGAAACCAAAGUAGAACUUUUUGGUACAAAUGCAAAAUAGAAAAACAGUAUGCGGCACAGCAAUGCAGAAGCAACUAUACGGUAAAUGGACUUAUCUGUUCCUAUAGUAGGAGCCUGGCGUCACUCUUGGUGCACGGCUUUAGGAAAAUCAGCCCAGUUGAAAACAGCAAUCGAAAGAAGACAAUUGUUUUGCAUGGAUAAUGUGCUUCUACUGGCCCCUGACAAGGGCCAGUAGAAGCACAUUAUUUGUGCGAAACAAUUGUUGCCCAUUUUAUUUGCCUCCUGCACUCUUGUCCUCCCCUUGCCAUGUGUUAAUAUACACCGAAUAAAGCUCUGGAUUUUACCUUCAAGUUACCCCGGUAUGCCGCUUAUCUUCUUUCGCUUGCUCUUUUUAGUAAAAACUCAACACGUCGUGUUUGGAGGAGAAAGAAUGCUGAGUUGCAUCCAAAGAAAACCAUACCUACUGUGAAGCAUGGGGGUGGAAACAUAAUGCUUUGGGGCUGUUUUUCAGCAAAGGGACCAGGACGACUGAUCCGUGUAAAGGAAAGAAUGAAUGGAGCUAUGUAUCGUGAGAUUUUGAUUGAAAACCUCCUUCCAUCAGUAAGGGCAUUGAAUAUGAAACAUGGCUGGGUCUUUCAGCAUGACAAUGAUCCCAAACACCCCCCCAGGCAACAAAGGAGAGGCUUUGUAAGAAGCAUUCCAAGGUCCUGGAGUGGCCUAGCCAGUCUCCAGAUCUCAACCCCAUAGAAAACCUUUGGAGGGAGUUGAAAGUCUGUGUUGCCCAGCGACAGCACCAAAACAUCACUGCUCUAGAGGAGAUCUGCACUGAAGAAUGGGCCAAAAUACCAGCAAUAGUUUGUACAAACCUUGUGAAGACUUACAGAAAACGUUUGACCUCUGUCAUUGCCAACAAAGGGUAUAUACCAAAGUAUUGAGAUGAACUUUUGUUAUUGACCAAUUACUUAUUUUCCACCAUAAUUUGCAAAUAAAUUCUUUAAAAAAUCAGACUGACAAUGUGAUUUUAUGGAUUUUUUUUUUCUCAUUCUGUCUCUCAUAGUUGAGGUAUACCUAUGAUGAAAAUUACAGGCCUCUCUCAUCUUAUUAAGUGGGAGA